GCAGUCGUACGCUUCUUUUUCCCCGGAGCUUGCUCCACCGGAAAAAGAAGAGUGGCGAACGGGUGAGUAACACGUGGGUAACCUGCCCAUCAGAAGGGGAUAACACUUGGAAACAGGUGCUAAUACCGUAUAACAAUCGAAACCGCAUGGUUUUGAUUUGAAAGGCGCUUUCGGGUGUCGCUGAUGGAUGGACCCGCGGUGCAUUAGCUAGUUGGUGAGGUAACGGCUCACCAAGGCCACGAUGCAUAGCCGACCUGAGAGGGUGAUCGGCCACAUUGGGACUGAGACACGGCCCAAACUCCUACGGGAGGCAGCAGUAGGGAAUCUUCGGCAAUGGACGAAAGUCUGACCGAGCAACGCCGCGUGAGUGAAGAAGGUUUUCGGAUCGUAAAACUCUGUUGUUAGAGAAGAACAAGGAUGAGAGUAACUGUUCAUCCCUUGACGGUAUCUAACCAGAAAGCCACGGCUAACUACGUGCCAGCAGCCGCGGUAAUACGUAGGUGGCAAGCGUUGUCCGGAUUUAUUGGGCGUAAAGCGAGCGCAGGCGGUUUCUUAAGUCUGAUGUGAAAGCCCCCGGCUCAACCGGGGAGGGUCAUUGGAAACUGGGAGACUUGAGUGCAGAAGAGGAGAGUGGAAUUCCAUGUGUAGCGGUGAAAUGCGUAGAUAUAUGGAGGAACACCAGUGGCGAAGGCGGCUCUCUGGUCUGUAACUGACGCUGAGGCUCGAAAGCGU
rnacentral:rRNA from 1 species